CGGGGCCUAGCCGCGCGUCUAUCCGGCGAGGUGGCCGUAUAAAAAGGUUUGGCUGGUCAGGACAACACAUCAGUUCGCAACCAGCGUCGCUCCGCCAUCACCGCGCAAAGCAUCUCCUCGACAUGGCCGGCUUCCGAGUCUCCGCUCUCCUGCUCCUCGUGGCGGUGGUGGCCGCGGCCUUCGCCGGCCCGCUGGGGCUGCUCGACUCCAACAAGUCCACGUCCAACAGCGGCGGACAGGACUUCCUGAUGGGGCUGGUGAACGCCCUGCUGCGGCUGCACGUGAGCGCGCUCAACAACGUGCCGGUGCUGUCGCCGCUGCUGUCGCUCUGAGAGCCCUCGCGCGCGACUCGUCUCGCACCAGGCCACUGGCGGUGUUUGUACAGGAGUGCUGAGACGGGAAGGACAAACCGUACAUUUAUGGACUUUUAAACGAUUGUUGUGGAUUGGCGUUCGAAGUGAAAAACAUAGACAGCGAUAAAUUUACGAAGACCCUUUGUUAAUUUGUAGCCAGAUUUCGUCGUAAAUUUUAAGUGAAAAUGUUUAACAGUCACGUCACCUUCUCUGCUUCUGUGAGUGUUCACUUCUUUCGAGCUUGACACGCACGAAUCACUUACUUAUUUGCACAAGAGACAGCUUGUGUUUUUCCUCUAGUUCACCCUAAAUUAAUAAUGAUUGUAAUUGCUCCAAACGAGUAGAACUUAAUUGGAAAUUUGUUAAAUCUGCUUCACGUUAUCAGUGGCGUCAUAAUUUUUUUUUUCAGUAACUAAAAUUUUCUUACUCUGAAAUAAAAUUUUUUAGUGAACAUCCUGAAGAAGUCCAGUGUUUUAGGAGCCAAUAAAAAUGUUCUAGCAUAAUUUUUAUGCAUGACUUGUAAUAUUCCAAAUUGAAACGCAUACUCUGUCACGGAUAUUUCGUGGACUCAUUUUGCGAAAAGGUAGACUUGGACGUUUGAUCUGCCAAGAUGAUUGGAUUACAUUUCCUGUCACAACCUUGAGUUAAUGGUAACCAGCGUGCAGGGUUGAGGCUUCUGAACCCAUUUAAACAAAUAGAGCUUUCUCACAAGGGAAUGAGUCUAUGAAUACUUUAUGUCACUGUCAAGAGUGCCCACAUCACUGAGAAGUUUAGCUUACUGCAAAUGAAGCCGCGAAGUUCCCGUGUCUGAAGUAAAUUAUCACGUAGUACCCUCUGGAACUAGACAAGCUGUUUCAUCCUGACGCAGGCAUCUCUGUCAUUUCUGCGCUCUUAGCAAAGUUACUCAGAGUACUCGGAAAAGUUGUACCGUUGUGAAUUUCUUUUCUAAAAAAGGUAAGCCGCUAUAACUGUAUGUGAAACCUUUCUUUUAAAUAAAAUUUUAAUGUGUAAAAAUAAUGUAUGUACGAAAAGUUUAUAUUAGAUAUAAUUUUUUACUUGAUAUAGUCUUUGUGUAUUUUCUACUAUAAUUUUACAAUAAAAAAUCACAAUAUA